UGGGGGAUAUUGCACAAUGGGCGAAAGCCUGAUGCAGCGACGCCGCGUGGGGGAUGAAGGCCUUCGGGUUGUAAACUUCUUUUGCUCUGAACAAGGCAUGCUAAUGGGUGUGUUGAGUGUAGGGGUUGAUUAGCGCCGGCUAACUACGUGCCAGCAGCCGCGGUAAUACGUAGGGCGCGAGCGUUGUCCGGAAUUAUUGGGCGUAAAGGGCUUGUAGGUGGCUGGUUGCGUCUGUCGUGAAAGCUCAUGGCUUAACUGUGGGUUUGCGGUGGGUACGGGCUGGCUUGAGUGCAGUAGGGGAGGCUGGAAUUCCUGGUGUAGCGGUGGAAUGCGCAGAUAUCAGGAGGAAUACCGGUGGCGAAGGCGGGUCUCUGGGCUGUUACUGACACUGAGGAGCGAAAGCUUGGGGAGCGAACAGG
rnacentral:rRNA from 1 species